CAGCAGCCGCCGCGGUAAUACAGAGGGUGCGAGCGUUAAUCGGAUUUACUGGGCGUAAAGCGUGCGUAGGCGGCUUCUUAAGUCGGAUGUGAAAUCCCUGAGCUUAACUUAGGAAUUGCAUUCGAUACUGGGAAGCUAGAGUAUGGGAGAGGAUGGUAGAAUUCCAGGUGUAGCGGUGAAAUGCGUAGAGAUCUGGAGGAAUACCGAUGGCGAAGGCAGCCAUCUGGCCUAAUACUGACGCUGAGGUACGAAAGCAUGGGGAGCAAACAGGAUUAGAUACCCGUGUAGUCCCUGUCUCUUAUAC
rnacentral:rRNA from 1 species